GCCCAGCGGCGCCGCCGUGGGGUGUCUCGAAUUUUGCCUCCCUUCCCGAUUCCCGUUCAACAUGAUUUUUCUACCUUUGUGAUCACCGUUUCCUCCUCUACAGGUUGAUCGAAGCAAAACACCUAACCGCGACGUAGGCCGGAGGAGCCACCGCACUGGAGAGCCCCACCGCCGGUAAGUUUCGGCUUUCUAUAUUUUUUCGGCCCACCGAGGGCCCUAAGUGUAUUUUUUCACAGGAACCGAUGCAAUUUUAGAUGAAUUCAGCCGAAAAUGGCCAAAAAUAGCCAACCCGACGUGGAUCGCCGCCGCGAGCAACGGCGCCGUUGCCGGAGUACGGAGGAGUCGCUAUGCCAGAAUUUUGGAAUUGACCGAGUAGGCCCUGGGUCUGAUUUUUGGGUUAUUUGAGAUAUGUGUAGGUACCGUAAGCGUGUUUCAAUUCUCGGAGAAAAAAUUCAAGGAACUUAGGGACCGCCCGUAGGCGCAGUGAAAAUCUAGUUUUCAGCGUCAGAUUAGGUAAGGACCCCUCAUCCUAUUUCCUAUCAUGGAAUUGAAGUCUGAAUAAAUGAUAAUACUGUAUUUUGUACAAAUUAAUUAGAUAUGCAUAAUUAAUUAUGGUUGCUAAUGGAGCCUGAACCGGACAUAUUUCUCCGUCAAUUUCU
rnacentral:lncRNA from 1 species